rnacentral:piRNA from 1 species
UGGGUCCUGGUGCACAUAUAACUCUUUUAGG